UACGUAGGGUGCGAGCGUUGUCCGGAUUUAUUGGGCGUAAAGAGCGUGUAGGCGGUUUGGUAGGUCCGUUGUGAAAACUCGAGGCUCAACCUCGAGACGCCGAUGGAAACCAUCAGACUAGAGUCCGGAAGAGGAGAGUGGAAUUCCUGGUGUAGCGGUGAAAUGCGCAGAUAUCAGGAAGAACACCCGUGGCUAAGGCGGCUCUCUAGUACGGUACUGACGCUGAGACGCGAAAGCGUGGGGAGCGAACAGG
rnacentral:rRNA from 1 species